UACAGAGGGUGCGAGCGUUGUCCGGAAUCACUGGGCGUAAAGGGCGCGUAGGUGGUGGCUUAAGCGUGCGGUGAAAGCUCGGGGCUCAACUCCGAGUCGGCCGUGCGAACUGGGCUCACUGGAGCAUAGUAGAGGCAGGUGGAAUUCCGGGUGUAGCGGUGGAAUGCGUAGAGAUCCGGAAGAACACCGGUGGCGAAGGCGGUUGGCUGGGCCACAACUGACACUGAUGCGCGACAGCGUGGGGAGCAAACAGG
rnacentral:rRNA from 1 species